GGAUUGCUAUUAUUAUUAAUAAUUAUCUUUUAAAAGUAUUUUCUGAAGGAGAGAAGGGGAGGAGAAAAAGAAGCUAAAAGGGUGACUCUCCAAACGCAUGCACACAUCCCACUCACCCGUCUACAUGUUCCCAGCUCUCAAGAAAAUAAAGGAAAAUCAAAAAGAAUCAAGAGAGAGGCCAAGCCCGAAGCAAAGCCAAAAAAUACAUUGAAGCUAGGAUGCAACUGUGAUGCUGAAUAGGGGAGGAGCCGUGAUCGGCUGUCACAUGGUCCCAUUGCAGAUGGGAAAACAUGAUGGCUGGGCCCUUGCCGUUACAUCCAUCUGGCCAGAUUGGCCAAAAGGUACUGACCACUCCGAAUCUGUGCACAUAUCUAAAGAUUACAACAUCAGUCUUUAUAUAUCAUUUAAAAAAUGUAAUAAGCAAGCACACAUCUAAAUAAUACUUUGUUAUGGUUGAGCCUUAUGGCUCCGAUACUGGGAGAUGAGGUUGUAAGACUCCUCGGGAGUCAGACUCUCUUGAGGAGCGAGAAAGGAAACGGCUCGGGGACUUAUUUGCAGAACCAACAGACAAAGACUCCUUUGAGGGUUUUACCGAGAGAAUGGAGGAAGAGAUGGUCAGAGGACAGGAUGACAUGGAAUGGACUCGUGUGAGGGAGGAUUUGGGUGUCACCGGCAAUGAUAGUGUGGGAGGCGAUUGGCGGGUUGCAGGAUCGGACCCGUGGACGGGCUGGAGGGAUGGAACGGGAUCCACAGCUGGGGAUGCUGUGGGGCGUAGUCAAAGGUGUUUUAGCUCUGAUGAGGAUGAUGAUGAGGAGGCACCUGGAAUUAGGAUAGCAGCUGACAGCGAUGAGGAGUUAUGAACUGGCAUAAAAUGGGGUCUAGAAUCAAUGGCUAAUUGCGUUGGGCAAGGUAAUCUGGACGAACGCUUGGGCUCUUGUUGGGAAAUUCCUGAAGACGGGUGUGAUUCGUUUGCUGAAUACCUUGGACCUCCGUCGUCUUUUUGACGGACAUUAAUUGCCUACUCUGGAUUGACGCUGGACUGACUGACUGACUACGAUCCCGGACUUCCCUUCUGUGGCUAUCGGUGGAACUUGUGAACUAAAGACAUCUGUACCUGGCUUUCGACCUCGGACCGGAUUGGGACCCUGCUGACCGUUACUACCCUGAUUGAUGCGCCUGGCUCCGGAUUUCGCUCGUUGCAUGGAGGAGUAACAACCUUAGUUACUCAAUUGUAGCUUUUGAGUAGCAGAGAGGAAUCUGCUGCCAGUUAUUUGUGUUUCAUUGAACCUUUGUUUAUCAACUUUUGUUUGUUUAAAUUGCCAGGCUGAAGUAAGCAUUUUUGGUUUAACCCGGAUUAAACUUCUGUUUAAUCCGGUUUAUCUUUUGAACCACUUUUAGUACCAGCGGAGUCUUUUUUGUAUCUUUUCACAUUGAAGGCAAGUGUUUGCCUAGUCCUUUGUUUCUUACGGGCAUUUUUAGUGCUGUUACUUUAAUAAACUGUGUUGAACUUUA